GUCGCACCAACUCUGUGUGGGAAACCGCUGGAGGGCCCGUGCUAACUACACGGGGUGGUAACAGACGACACGGAUACCUCCACGCCUUUUUUGGUGUAGAUACCAUGGGCAAUCCGCAGCGAAGCCUCUAAGUCCGGCCGCCGGAUAUGAGGAACGUUCACAGACUAAGUGGAAGUGGGUGGAGCGUUCGCCGCUCUGCUUAAGAUAUAGUCGGUCCCCUUGGGAAACUAAGGGGGUGAGUACACUGCUCGAAAUUUAAACUUGAGCGCAUCUCGGAUAGCGCUCGUGUUAGAAUUUCGGGACCGUCGAUUGCCUCGCGGUUCGACGGCUCUUAAAACGUUCCGUAGGUGAACCUGCGGAAGGAUCAUUACAGAAAGUAAACGCGGAUCAAACCGCGAACUUUUAAACCUUUGACGAUUGACUCAUGUUGCCUCGGCGGGUUCUCUCGCCAGAGGAUACAUCAAAACUCCUGUUUUAACGGUGUUGUCUGAGCUACAAGCAACGAAUCAAAACUUUCAACAACGGAUCUCUUGGUUCUGGCAUCGAUGAAGAACGCAGCGAAAUGCGAUAAGUAGUGUGAAUUGCAGAAUUCAGUGAAUCAUCGAAUCUUUGAACGCACAUUGCGCCCCUUGGUAUCCCGAGGGGCAUGCCUGUUCGAGCGUCAUUUCACCACUCAAGCCUGGCUUGGUGUUGGGCGACGUCCCCUUCAGGGACGCGCCUCGAAACGCUCGGCGGCGUGGCACCGGCUUUAAGCGUAGCAGAAUCUUUCGCUUCAAAAGUUGGGGCCCCGUCUGCCGGAAGACCUACUCGCAAGGUUGACCUCGGAUCAGGCAGGGAUACCCGCUGAACUUAAGCAUAUCAAUAAGCGGAGGAA
rnacentral:misc_RNA from 1 species